rnacentral:rRNA from 1 species
GAUGAACGCUGGCGGCGUGCCUAAUACAUGCAAGUCGAGCGAACGGACGAGAAGCUUGCUUCUCUGAUGUUAGCGGCGGACGGGUGAGUAACACGUGGAUAACCUACCUAUAAGACUGGGAUAACUUCGGGAAACCGUAGCUAAUACCGGAUAAUAUUUUGAACCGCAUGGUUCAAAAGUGAAAGACGGUCUUGCUGUCACUUAUAGAUGGUGCCGCGCUGCAUUAGCUAGUUGGUAAGGUAACGGCUUACCAAGGCAACGAUGCAUAGCCGACCUGAGAGGAUGAUCAGCCACACUGGAACUGAGACACGGUCCAGACUCCUACGGGAGGCAGCAGUAGGGAAUCUUGCGCAAUGGGCGAAAGCCUGACGGAGCAACGCCGCGUGAGUGAUGAAGGUCUUCGGAUCGUAAAACUCUGUUAUUAGGGAAGAACAUCUGUGUAAGUAACUGUGCACAUCUUGACGGUACCUAAUGAGAAAGCCACGGCUAACUACGUG